CUGCAUUCCCUCCCAGUUGAGUGUGGGAUUUUCUAGAACCUUCAUCAUGACAUGUUUCAUGUCCCACCUUGCAACUCUUGGAGACAUUUCUUCUCUUCCUUGAAUCUUGGGAAUGAUGUUGGUAUGUUCACAUAACCAAUACUGCAUUUGAAAAAUAGAGAAUAUUGAUUAAUAAGCAAGACUAAAGUUGAUGAAAUAGAAAUAAAUGUAGCUUUACUUACCAAUAGUACUAGUGUGCAUCCACUCAUAACUGCAUUUCCUUCCUGCCACUUCUUGUGUCCUAUUGGCAAGUUUUUCCUCUGAUGAUUUUCAUUCAACUUGUUUACAAGGAAGAAAUGAAUAGCCUCUGCCCAGUUAACAGAAUUCAUCCCCUUCAAGCUGUCAAGAUGCUUCAAGUGAUUCCAUAAAGCCCUGCUCGCUGAAUUUGAGAAAAAUACGGUGAUGAACAUGUAGAUGAUGAUGAGGAAUCCAAGGUCUUCCUUCUUGUGUCCAUCUUCAUCCACUAGUGUUAGAAUCUUGUUCAUCACCUUAUCCUUUGCAACAUCGUCGAUAUCCUCAGUAAAGUUGUUACUAAUGAAAUCGAUUUUGCGAUGUUUGUCAGUACUGCAUGUUUUUUGUUCAAUGACCUCUCCAUAACUCUUCAAGCCAAACAGAACUGCCACAUCUUCAACUCUAAACUUCACCAUCUCAUUCCCAAUCCUAAAACCACAGUCUUCAGGUGAGUAGCAAUUGAGAAUGCAGAAGAUCGCUGUUUUGAAUGAUUCAUUCUUUGGCUUGCAUGGUUCAAUCAUACCAAGAUGCAUGAGAUUGUACAGACUUCCAAAUGUUGUGUCCUUCAAAAAACUGCAGAUGUUCAACACUCAUCUUGCUCUUUAUCGUUGCAGCUAAACUUCUAAGAGGUUCCAUGGAAUAUCUGAAGAAUGAAGUAUCAUUCUUCUUCUUCUUUGGAAAUUCAACAUUUGGCUCACUAUCCUUCCUCCUCUUUUUCGCUACUGGUUUUGGUUUAGGUGAUUUCUUAGAUGAUGAUCUUGUGAAGUAUUUACGUUUUCGAGAUGAUGUAUGUGGUUCUUCAGGUGCACUCUCUUGAAAAGAAUGAAUCAUUAAUCAACUAUUAAUCAACUAUACAGAAAUCAAUGAUUAAUACAUUAAUCAACUAUAUAGAAAUCAACACUUAAUAUGUUAAUCAACUAUACACUAAUCAAGUAUACAGAAAUCAACACUUAAUAUGUUAAUCAACUAUACAGAAAUCAACACUUAAUCAUUAAUCAACUAUACAGAAAUCAACACUUAAUUACUCUGUACAGUUGAUUAACAUAUUAAUCAACUAUACCGAAAUCAACAUUUAAUCAUUGAUUAAUAUGUUAAUCAACUAUACAUUAAUCAAUACUUAAUCAUUCUGUAUAGUUGAUUAAUGUAACUAUACAGAUUGAUGAUUUCUUGAAAUAAAUUUUGAACAAUACAUUACUCAACUACUUUAUUAAAACAAAACAAAAAAUCUAAAGAAGUUAUUAAAAAGAAAAGCAAGAAAUUUACCUCAGAUUCGUAAUCUUUGUCGCGUGCUUGUUCUUGUUGUUCAACAGCUUUAAGCUUCUUUCGCAUUGUCGCUUUCUUAUCUUUUUUUGCCCAAGGACCAGUUUUUGUACAAGUUUUUAUUCUUGUCAUUAUAGAAAUUUGAAGAAAAGUAGCGGAAAAUAAAAUAAAACAAGUAACAGUAAUGCGAAAGAAACCAGAGAAAUCGAAAAUAACAGACUUCUAAUCAAAGAGAAACCAGAGAAAUCGAAGAGAAACCUGAGAAAUCGAUGAGAAACCAGAGAAAUCGAAGAAAUCAGACUCUUAAUCAAGAGAAAUCGAAGAAUCAGACUUUUAUCAAGAGAAAUCGAAGAGAAAUCCUUAGAAAUUGAAGUAAAUCCUAAGAAAUCAAGACGAAAUUUGACAGUUGAGAUAGACAAAGAGAGAGAGAGAGAGAGAGAGAGAGAGAGAGAGAGAGAGAGAGAGAGAGAGAGAGAGAGAGAGAGGAGAGAAAGAAAGAAGGAAUAAGAAAUUAGGUUUUGUUUGAAAAUUAAAAAAAAAAAAAAAAAAAAAAAAAAAAAACCCCGCCCCACGGUGUUAUAUUCUUUACAGUUACUAAAACACUAGCAGGGUAUAUGCGUCAUUAUACAGGCGUAUCCUUCAGCCUAAAGAAACGUUUCUGGUGUCCUUGGGCCUAAUGAAACCUUAUAAUUUGUCCUUGGGCCCAAAUUGCUGAAAAGUAAAAUAACACAAGAGAUUUUUAACGUGGUAAAACCCAAAUAGGGAAACGUCCACUGUUAUCCUCGCGACAACAAAACAAUCCACUAUAAUGCAAGAUAUUACAAACCUAUCAAGCAAUACCACAUACACCUGCUACAGUGCUACUUGAUAAUACCGGCUAUUUCUAAUACUAUGACUUCACCGAAAUUCCUUGAUGCACACACGAGGACACACGAAGUCAAUCUCAGAACGAACACAAGGGUGAUUGAGUUGAGAACAAUAGAAGGGAGAAUGAGUUUUUGAAACACCAAAACACUUGAAUAGAGAUUAAAGAGAGGAAGAAGACGGCCAAAGAACUACUGUGUUAUUUUCCAAAAAUUAACCGAAACAAGAAAGAAGAGCAAUUGGGCCUCAGGCCCAUGGAACUGAACGUGGACGUUCGGACGUCUUGAUCCAAAAACAAACUUCUGACAGUUUAAGAAAAGGGACAAGACCAGACUAGAGUGACGCAAAAAAAACGUGCAUCAAGGGACAACCUAAUAAUGAAACCAAGACGAGUCGUUAAAUAUAUUAAACCUAUGUCACAAAAUAAUAUCAAACACCACGUGGCGGUUUCAUGAUCAAGAGAGAGAUCAUAUGGGAGAGGUUUUAUGGUUUAUAUAAACCAUGAGACAGAGUUAGUGAAGAUGAAUCCCUUCCACUUCACUAAUUAACUCGUGGUUUAUAUCACUAGAGCUAGACAUGAUAGGAUGUAGAACAUCUGUUGAAGUAUACCAAUUAAAAAGAUCAUUCAAAGGGGUGAGUACGCCACAAUUGUGCAUGUUUAACCAACUGUUUAUAAUAUAGUCAUAUACCACCAUGACCACACCUGUUCAAUUUAUGGGUCAGUGCAAGUAGAUCUUGUAAUGCUUAGUAAAAACAUGCACAUGGUAUUUAUUUAUUUUUUAUUUUUUGAUAAUUCGAAUGUUAUUGAUCGAAAGGAAAGAGUACACUGUACACAGAGAAGAAAAGGUUCUCUGAGCUAAAAACAAAUAGCCUCGGAUUUAACCCACCAUAUAAAUGAACUAAAAGAUACAACUGUAACUUAAAAAUACAACUGCGAAUCUAAGGUGUUCAUUAAGAUUUUUUUUUUUUUUGUUAAAGGAGUUAAUUAAGAUAGAAUCCCAGUUGAUCACCAAUUCCUGGAAAUAGUGAUUUCUAUUACAAGGUAAUUGUCAGAUAAUAAGUUCGACAAACCAAUUCCAAAUCAUCUAGAAAUCCCACUUAUAGAAAUUGCCAAUACCAAUAAGGGGGCGGGGUUAGGCAGACCCCUACGUGUUAGAUAUUGGAAAAAUUAAAGGGGGAUUUAGAGAUACCCCCCAAAAUAAUAGGAACUCUUUGAGAUACCCCCAGAUUUAAAAAUCAUUAGAGAUACCCCCCAGAUUUUUAUUUUAAGCCGGUCAACCAAACCAUUGACCAAUAUAACUUUUAUAUUGACAAAAAUACCCUUCUCAAUUGAAGUUAUAUCCUAGUCAUCCAACCCAAUUACCAUGUAUGCCAUAUCAUGUAAACUUUGAUCUAAUCCUAAGUAUUCAAUAAGAUAAAACCCUCAAAUCUAAUCCUAUGGUUAGAAACCAAUAUUUUUUUCUCCAACUCUUCUUCCUUCUUCUCAACCACCAAUUCCUCCACCACCACUAUUAAAACCACCAAUUCCUCCACCAAACUACNNNNNNNNNNNNNNNNNNNNNNNNNNNNNNNNNNNNNNNNNNNNNNNNNNNNNNNNNNNNNNNNNNNNNNNNNNNNNNNNNNNNNNNNNNNNNNNNNNNNUCUCUAUCUUUUUCUCACACAAAAAAUCUUCUCUCUCUUAUUCUCAUAAAUCACCCCACAACCACCAAUACCUCCACCACCACUACUAAAUCUUCUUUCUCCUUUUUUUCUCACACAAACAAUUUUUUUCUUUUCUUUUGUACUCGUAAAUCACCCAACACAACUACAAAAACCACCAAUUUCUCCACCACCACUACUAAGUCCACUAAUUUCUCCACCACCACUAUUAAAGUUCUUGGAUUAAUGGGGUGUGGGUGUGGUUAGGAUCAAUGGGUUUGAAUUACAUGAGAUGGACGGUUAUGAUUUAAUGGGGUAUGGGUGUUGGAUGUGAGUAAAAUUUGUUUAUGUUAAAGGUUUUGCUGACAUGGCAUACAAGUAGAUGACUAGGAUUAAGGUUCAAAUAAAAGAAGGGUAUUUUUGUCUAAAGAACAUAAAGAUGGGUCAAACAUAGGUCAAUGGCUCGGUUGACCGGCUUGAAAUGAAAAUCUGGGGGGUAUCUCUAAUGAUUUUUAAAUCUGGGGGGUAUCUCAAAGAGUUCCUAUUAUUUUGGGGGGUAUCUCUAAAUCCCCCAAAAUUAAACCAUAAGGCAAGAAGGGGACAUGGUGCCUUACCUCUAUAUACAAAAAGAGACAUGGGCCUUUAAGGCUAGAACUAAAACUGGGCUGUGAAGCCUAACACAAAAAGACCAAAUAAAAUUAAACAAACAAACAGAAAGCGAUUGCCCAACCCACUUGUAGGUCAACUCCUCGUAAAUAAGCGCCAAAAAGGAUGUAAGCCUCUUCAAUUUCUUGUUUACAUUCCAGAGCUUUGGUAGAGAAGAAAACCCGUUUUUUCCUCCUUCUAAGUCUCUUCUAAAGUAUCUAACAAGUAUAUAUAAACCAAUUGUUGCCCAUUAGUAUGAUCAGAUCUAUAUGUCCAUUCGUCGCUUUAUGUGCCUCCAGCACUUCGCUGAAUUUGCUUCUUUUCAUUCCAACUUGAGAGUUGACCACCUUAACGGGCUCAAGCCCAAAUCAAUUACAAGUCAAAACUCAAGACUUUAAUCAAUAAGAAUCUAAACCCAAUUCAAUUAGUAAUAAGGCUUAGGCCCGUUAUUACAUUCAAUAUCAAUUAUGGGCUUUAUCUAUUUUAACUCCAUUAUAUUCAAUAAGGUUAAUAUGGUAAAACUACAUCUUUGUAGAGAUUUCCUUAAUCUAAUCCAACUACAACUCCAAUAUCUCUACAACUCAUGUUCCUAAUUAAUAGGACAUAUACAUACAUUAAGUAACCACUUUUAAGUCCAAAUACAUGGGACUACAAUAUUACAAUACAUUAGGGAUUAUGGGAUUACAUCUUAAUCCUAAUCAAACUCUACAUUUGAACUACGUUAUAAAAGGCUUGAUUUCAUAUCUCUCUUAUUGGAACGUAGGCAACUAAGAAGCAACUUAGUGUAGCCAUAAUCAAUCACCAAAACCCUAUUUCUUCAUCUUCAUCUUCUCCAAUACCUUACAUCACAACAUUGGGGGUUUCUUCUUGAUUCUACAUCACAUUGGUGUGAAAUCCGGUUGAAACACUUUGGCGCCGACUGAGGUUUUCUUCCCCCCCACAAAAACCUAUUUUUUAAUAGGAAUCAAGCUCUUUCUUCUCAAUGGCAACAACUAGAUCUCAACAAAACAAGCAAGUAAGUAAUGGUGGACGUCAAGAAGGUUCAAGACAUGUGCAAGCUCGCUCUCUAAAUUCCAACCCUAGAGAGCAUAUUGUCACUUCCAUGAGAGUUCCAUCUAAUGACGAAGAACACUUGGUUUCUUUUUCUUCUUCUCAACCAUCAAAAUCCAAGGAGCCUACUCAACAUGAAGAAGUCAUGAUUUCUGAAAACGAGUAUCUACGCCGUAAACUCAAAAGGCUUCAAAAUAAGAAUAAUGGUCUUAGGAGAAGGUUGAAACAUACGAAUCACAAUGGUAAUAAGUAUUCGUUAACUCCAUCUUCUUCAAGUGUUUUUGAUAGGUUAGGAGUCAAUCCAAAUCUAAGGAAAAAGACUCGACCUUCAACCAUCCCGGAAGUUGAAGAAGAUAUCGAAGAUGACAUUGUAUUACCAUCACAAGAACAAUCCCCAUGUGGCUUGGAGAAAGAAGAUGAACGCAAAAACCCUAAAGGCCUUCGAUCUAGAACUAACGGUCAAGGCGCUUUAAGGAACAAAUUCACCAUCACACCAAAGGCACCAAGAUAAGUUUGCUUAUUGGUACCAUUACAAAAAGCCAGCAUCGUCGAUCCCCAACCAUUGCUAAUGUCAAUGCAAAUACACUCGCUAAGAGGUUGCCCAACAAAAACGUCCUUGACAGACUUAGUACCCUAAGACACGCCCAGAGGCAAAAAUCUUAUCAGAAAUCAGACCAAGGAACUACCCAGAGGCAAAAAUCUUGUCAGAACUACAGUGCCUAGAGGCAAAAUGUCUGACAGGCAUCAACACAGAGUUUUGUCCAGAGGCAAUUUUUCUGACAAGCCACUGUCCAGAGGCAAUUUUUCUGACAAGACACUGUCCAGAAGCAUUUUUUCUGACAGAUGUGUAUCCACACAUGUUUUAAGCGGCAAAAUGUCCGACAUGUUAUCUAGCGGCAACAGAUUCAACAGCUUUGACAGAUACCGAGAAACGCAUAGGAACAUUCAAAGGGGUAGACGAGGUACCCGUUCAUCAACUCCUACAUCUUUAAGGCAUUACCAUCAAGGUCUUGAUGAGCAUGAAUAUGAUCAAGAUAGAAACAAUAAUGUAGGGAUCGGGAACCUUACUGAAGAGAAGUUGCAAAGAAUAGUCGUUCAAGCAAUUCAAGCAAAAAAAGCUAAGGAGUAUAGACUCGGCAACAUUGCCCAUCAUACGAGCAAAACUUCCUUAUUUUCUUUCAAGAUUCAAUGAGUAGAGCAUCAGCCAGAUUUCGAGCCACCAAGUUUCAAAAAAUACAAUGAAGUUGAGGGCAAUCCUUGGCUCCAUAUUUUUUACUUCAAGAACAAGAUGGUGCUCUUUAGUUAUGAUGAUGCACUCAUGUGCAACAUGUUUCCUUCUACCUUUGGUAUCGAAGCUCUUCGAUGAUUCUCCGACCUUCAACGGGGUUCUAUCCAAAACUUCAAUGAUUUCUUUGUCCAAUUUGCCGAACACUUUAGGCAUUAUUGGCAUCACCCUAAGGAUGUUGUUGUCUUGUUCAAUAUUAAGCAAGGAGAUGGAGAGCUAUUAAGUAAAUUUGUAUCUCGAUUUAGACAAGCCCAGGCGGAAAUACCCGAUGUCUCAGAUAUACUUGUUAUUUAUGCUUUCAAAGAAGCGUUACUACAUGAUGACAAAGGGUUAUAUAGUUCCAUUGUGCUUAACACUCCUGCCACCAAGUAUGAACUUUUCUCUAGAGCUCAAAAGUACAUCCGUCUUGAGGAUGAUACAAUUAGCAAACAAGGGCACGAAGACUCAAGCUCACAUUUUUCAAAUAACUAGUUAGGGAUCAUAAGGAUUCGCCAACUCAAGUACCACUGGAGGGCGACAACCUUAUGGUUGGAUCAGAUCAAGAUCAACACUAACGAUUUUGCACGACUAGUAUCACGCAAAAAGACUUCGUGUCAUUGCUAAGGGUACCACACGUGGUACUAGCAUAUGAUAAGUCAACUCAAACACGAUAUCUUUGUCCAACCCUCUAUCACACAAAUUGGGGGCGUCACCAUAUAUCUUAUCACACCUUUAAUGGUGUCCUCAUUAUGAUCAGAACGUUUCUACAUCAUACGCUUGGGGGCGAUUCCCUCUUUCACCUAAUGUAUCACUACAUGGGGGCGUAUGAAUCAAUAUCAAGAGUGAUCUCUAAUGGUCACAUCAAUAUCAAUAUCAAGAGUGAUCUCUAAUGAUCACAUCAAUAUCAAUAUCAAGAGUGAUCUCUAAUGAUCACAUCAAUAUCAAUAUCAAGAGUGAUCUCUAUUGGUCACAUCAAUAUUAAUAUCAAGAGUGAUCUCUCAUGAUCACAUCAAUAUCAAUAUCAAGAGUGAUCUCUCAUGAUCAAAUCAAUUUCAAUAUCAAGACUGAUCUUUAACGAUCACACCACUAUCAAUAUCAAGAGUGAUCGACAAAUGGUCACAUCAAUAUCAAUAUCAAGAGUGAUCUCUAACGGUCACACUAAUAUCAAUAUCAAGAGUGAUCUCUAAUGGUCACAUCUAUAUCAACAUCAACAGUGAUCUCUAUUGGUCACAUCAAUAUCAAUAUCAAGAGUGAUAUCUCAUGAUCACAUCACUUUCAAUAUCAAUAGUGAUCUCUUGUGAUCACAUCAAUAUCAAUAUCAAAAGUGAUCUCUCAUGAUCACAUCAAUACCAAUAUCAAGAGUGAUCUUUCAUGAUCACAUCAAUACCAAUAUCAAGAGUGAUCUCUCAUGAUCACAUAACUUUUAAUAUCAAGAGUGAUCUCUCAUGAUCACAUCACUUUUAAUAUCAGGAGUGAUCUUUUAUGAUCACAUCAAUAUCAAUUUCAAGAGUGAUCUCUCAUGAUCAUAUCAAUUUCAAUAUCAAGAGUGAUAUCUCAUGAUCACAUCAAUAUCAAUAUCAAAAAUGAUCUCUCAUGAUCACAUCACUAUCAAUAUCAAGAGUGAUCUCCAAUGGUCACAUCCAUAUCAAUAUCAAGAGUGAUUUCUAUUGAUCACAUCCAUAUCAAUAUCAAUCUCAAUAUCAAGAGUUAUUUCCAAUGCUCACAUCAAUAUCAAUAUCAAUCUCAAUCUCAAUAGUGAUCGACAACCGGUUACAUAAAUCUCAAUCUCAAUAGGGACUUGUGUGUGUCUCGUUUGCACUUUGAUAUACCCAUUGUCCAUGCACACUGUUGUGCGCAGCAGAAACUAAUGCACAAAUAAGAUGAUUGAACUAAUGUAUGAAAGUAAAACAAAACGACAAAAUCAAACAAGCAACCACACAAGACAUAAGAUAUACGUGGUUCGGCAAUAUGCCUACGUCCACGGGGAGAAUGGAUGAUGUUUUUCUUAUCGAGACAAUUGUACAAGCCCUCACGAAGAAACCGAAGUCUUCUUUCUCACAAAAGUUCUCCAACUCUCUAAUGGCUUCUCACAAUCUCUCUCGCAUAAAAAAACUUUUUUUUUUCUACUUCUAUUUGGCUUUAUAACAUAGCCUUACAAUAGACCACGAAUUGGGCUUAAACAGGCCCAUAUAGCACAAAAGCAAAGGAGGACGUACGUACGUCGAACGAACGUUCGUUCGUCAAACCACGAAGAAAUUAUCUGUGAUACGGGACGUAUGUAUGUUCCUGAACUAUACCAUCAACGUACGUACGUCGAAUACACGUUCGUACGUUCUUUGAUCCAAAAGUUAUCUGUGAUGUUGAACGUACGAACGCCCUAACUGCGUACGUACGUUCCUGAACAGAAAACUUCCCUUCGUCCUUUUCUUUUUCACAAAAAUACCCAACAAUUCUCCACCUCGGCGAAGAUUCAAUAAAUCUAAGCCGACACCAAGAAUAACACAAGUCACAAACUCCUACACAUGUCCCGAAAGACCACCUCGGCUGCACCACUUCAUGGUUGCCUACGUACCCUUCUUCUAAGGGAUCAAGCCAUCGUAGUUCACUUCAAGAUAUACUAUCAACUCGAAGGAAGAAUAUGGACCAAAUCUAAGCAAUGAUAGAAUUUAGUCCCUGGAACCACUUUAGUCAACAUGUCAGCCGGAUUACUGCUAGUAUGAAUCUUCUUCAAUAAAAUCUCACCAUCUUCAAUAAUGUCUCUAACAAAGUGAUGUCGCACAUCAAUGUGCUUUGUACGAGCAUGAUAAACUGAGUUCUUUGCCAGAUUUAUGGCACUUUGAUUAUCACAAUAAACCAUAAGCUGAUCCUGCACAAUACCCAAGUUUUUCAACAUACCUCGUAGCCAAAUGGCUUCCUUAAAGGCUUCAGUCACAGCCAUAUAUUCAGCUUCUAUCGAAGACAAAGCAACAAGAGAUUGUAAUGUAGACCGCCAACUAAUAGGACCACCUGCCAAUAUAAAAACAUAUCUAGUAGUAGACCGACGUUUCUCUAUUUGACCAUCAUAAUCAGCGUCCACAUAACCAACACAAAACUGAUUCAAAUCUCUUCCCUUCUGAAAUAGUAAACCAACCUCCACACUAUCUUGAAUGUAGCGUAAGAUCCAUUUUACAGCUUCCCAAUGCUUCUCACCAGGAUUAUGCAUGUACCUACUUACAGUGCCAACUGCAUGCCCAAUGUCGGGCCUUGUACAUACCAUCGCGUACAUCAAGCUACCAACCGCACUUGCAUAUGGAUAACGUGUCAUGUAAGCACGUUCCUUAUCAGAAUUAGGAGACAUAGAAGCAUUCAAGUUAAAAUCUUUUGAGAGAGGUAUACUCACAACUGUACCAAUCUCAUAUUGGUUAAAUCUCUGUAGCACCUUCUGUAGAUAGGCCUUUUGAGAUAACCACAAUCUUCCAUGAUCUUGUUCCCUCUAAAUUUCCAUGCCAAGUAUCUUUCUCGCAUCACCAAGAUCUUUCAUCUCAAACUCCAUAGACAUAGUCUUUUUCAACUCGUCUAUCUCCACAUUGCUUUUAGAGGCUAUAAGCAUAUCAUCAACAUAUAAAAGCAAAUAGAUAAAAGAACCAUCACAUACCUUGCGAAAAUAGACACAAGGAUCAUAUGGACUUCUUGUGUACCCUUGCCCAAGCAUAAACCGAGUAAACUGCUUGUACCAUUGUCUUGGAGAUUGCUUCAACCCAUACAACGAUUUCUUCAAUUUACACACNNNNNNNNNNNNNNNNNNNNNNNNNNNNNNNNNNNNNNNNNNNNNNNNNNNNNNNNNNNNNNNNNNNNNNNNNNNNNNNNNNNNNNNNNNNNNNNNNNNNAAAAAAGCAGUUUCACAUCAAGAGAGCUAACUCCAAAUCAAACUGUGCUCCCAAGGCCAAUAGGAUGCGAAUGGAGGAAUGUUUCACAACCGGAGAAAAAAUUUCAUUAUAGUCAAUUCCCUCCUUCUGAGCAUAGCCUUUGCCACCAAUCUUGCUUGAAACGUACAUUUUCACCAGGAGAUCCAUCCUUCUUAGUGUAAACCCAUUUGCAUCCGAUUGCUUUCUUUCCCUUAGGCAACUCCAUGAGUUCCCAAGUUUCAUUCUUAUAAAGAGAUUUCAUCUCCUCAUCCAUGGCUUUCUUCCACCUUUCAUAAUCACAACUUUGCAGUGCUUCACGAAAAGUUUCUGGAAUACCCUCAUUAACAACCGAAAGUGCAUAAGCCACCAUAUCAUCAGUAAGCCGUUUAGGAACACCGACAUUUCUCUUGGAUAAUCUGGAUGCUAUUGGACCCUCAUCAUUAGGAUCCACAUGUACUGUAUCAUCAACCGUCUCAUCAUCAACCUCAUUAUCUGUCAUGUCAUCAGAAUCUGUAACACUAGGAACCUCAGUACUUGGAACCAUCCUAGUAGACGUCUUCAAAGAUACUGACGUAGCGGAGGCGAUUAAAAAUCAAACCUUGAAUAACCCAAGGGGAGGUUUGCCUUGAAACAAGGAAGAAUUAAUAUAAAACUAAGGAAAACUAAAUUGUAAAGACAAAUCUUAAUUGUAUUGAUUGAGUAAUUGAAUUGGUUGAAAUAAUUGUUCUACAAAGCAUGACUCUUUAUAUAGACUAAAGACUUAGACCAACUAGCACUAGGACUUUCUAAACAAAUAAAUCAAAAUACAAAUCCUACUUUGAAUUGUAUUACUAAUAUCAACUUAAUAGUAAACCAACUAUUCUAGAACUUCUAGACUCUAAAAUAGAAAUCCUAAACUUAUAAUGACUUCUAAAUAAACAUUAACCCAAAUAGGAAACCAAUUGGUGUAGGUAGGAUGUCCUACAUCAGAUACAGAACCACCUGGGAUACGUGGAGAUAUCUCAGUCUCCACCCACUGCGAAACCUCUUUGGCCUUGCUCUCCACCUGCUGAGAGCUCUUAGACUUCAACAUAGAAGCCUCAUCAAAAGUCACAUCUCUGCUUAGAAUAAUUUUCUUCAAUUCUGGAUCCAUAGCUUAUAACCUUUUACUCCACUUUGUAGACCCAUAAAUAAAGACUUCUUUGCACGAGGAUCCAACUUACUCUCUCGGACAUGAUAGUAAGCUGGACACCCAAACACAUGAAGAAAACAAUAGUCUGAAGCAGGCUUACCAGACCAAACCUCCAUAGGAGUUUUGCCAUCAAUCGCAGUCGAAGGCAACCUGUUAAUAAGGUGACAGGCAUACACAAUAGCCUCAGCCCAAAACACUUUGCCUAACCCAGCAUUAGAUAACAUACACCGAACUCUCUCCAGUAAAGUUCGAUUCAUCCGUUCUGCCACCCCAUUUUGCUGCGGUGUCUCUCUUACAGUGAAAUGGCGUUGAAUACCCUCAUCCUGACAUACUUGCAAGAAGGGAUCAUUUUUGUACUCUCCACCAUUAUCUGAGCGAAGUACUUUGAUCUUUCUGCCAAUUCGGGUUUCAACUAACUUCUUCCAUUUCAUGAAAAUUUCUAGGACUUCAUCCUUGCUCUUCAUGGUGUACACCCACACACGUCUAGAAAAAUCAUCAACAAAAGACACAAAAUAAUGCUUACCUCCCCAAGAUGCAUUCUUGGUAGGCCCCCAGACAUCCGUGUGAACAUAAUCAAGAGCUCCACUAGUAUUGUGGAUAGUCGUGCCAAACUUUACUCUUGUCUGCUUGCCCCGAAUGCAAUGCUCACAGAAUUCUAAUUUACAGGCGAUAGCACCCUUUAACAACCCUUGCUUUAUCAAUCUUUGCAAGGAUUUUUCACUAGUAUGCGCCAACCGCAUAUGCCACAAUCGCGUGGUCUCUCUAGCAAUCUUUGAUGUAACCUCAAACAUGACCACAUCACCAGUAAUUGUACUACCUUGAAGGAAGUACAAGUUCCUUUGUCGAAUACCCUUGAGUAAAAUUAUUGCACCAGCCACAACCUUUAGAACGCCAUGUUCAAGUACCACCUUGUAACCAUUGGCUUCUAAAAUACCAACCGAGAUGAGAUUCUUCUUCGUGUCAGGAACAUAUCUAACAUUCUGCAGGUUCCUUAUAAUUCCAUCAAACAUCUUCAAACGAAUGGUACCUAUACCCAUUAUGUGACAGGGUUGAUCAUUCCCCAUCACCACUACACCACUUUCCUGCUCAUUAAAAUUAAUGAACCAUUCCCUUAUAGGACAUAUAUGAUAAGAAGCAGCACAAUCUAAGAUCCAUUCAUUACCACUAGUAUAACAAAUCAUUGAUGAAACGGAUAAAGAAUAAUCAGAACCUUCAUCAUCAUUUUUAGUAUCACAUGCAACAUUUACCUCAGAGUUUUUCUUCUUGUCCUUUGUUUUGGCUUUAGGACAAUCUUUCUUCCAAUACCCUUUCUCAUGGCAAAAGGAGCAUUCGUCCUUUGCUAGAGCUCGACCUCUCGACUUUGACCAAUCUUUUCCUCUACCACCUUGGCCUUUCCUGUCAUUAGACCUUCCUCUUGCCACCAAGACCUCGGGUGUAGAGCCCUUGGACUCUUCUUUGUCCUUCUUCAUACACGCAUGAGUUAACAAUGCUGUAGAAAUCUCACCAUACACCAAUUUUUCUUUCCCAUAUGUGAGUGUGAUAGCCAAGUGUUCAUAUUCGUCAGGUAAUGAAUUUAAGAGACACACUGCCUUGCUUUCAUCACUCACAUCUGCUCCUAGAUUCACCAAGUCAGCAAUUAGCUUGGUAAAAUCAUUAAAAUGCUUCGCCAUUGAAAUACCUCUUCUCAUAUUUAUUCGAUAAAAAUUUCGAAGUAGAUAGUUUUUAUUGUGGAUAGUCUUUGUCAUGUACUUCUCCUCCAAUUUUCGCCAUAUCUCCUUUGUAGAAGCAUCAUUCAUCACAAGGUAUUUAAUGUCUUGAGCCAAACACGAUCUUAUGAUUCCACAAGCUCGUUUGUUCAUCUUCUUCCAAUCCUUCUCUUCCACAUCUUCUGGCUUAUCCUCCAGAACAUCUUCUAGGUCUUGUUGACAUAGAGAAUCCAUUACCUCGCACCUCCACAUGCCAAAGUUAUUGGUGCCGGUAAACUUCUCUACAUCAAUCUUUGCUUGAUGGAAAACCAUUGUCUUGAUUUCCCCUUUCGAAUCCUUCGAAUUCAAUUCUUUUGCCAUCUUUCCACCAACUUUCAUGCACUAAACAAUCACCAAACGAAGGUAAACAAAUCUGAAAUUCACACCGGAAUUUCAACAAACACCUUCUAUGCAACCCACGAACAAAAGGUAGAACCUUGGACUUGAAACACAAUUAAGAAACUCACUGCGGAAUUUCUUCAAACACCUUCAAGACGCUCAAGAUCUAACCGAAGCUCUGAUGCCACUUGUUGUGCGCAGCGGAAACUAAUGCACAAAUAAGAUGAUUGAACUAAUGUAUGAAAGUAAAACAAAACAACAAAAUCAAACAAGCAACCACACAAGACACAAGAUAUACGUGGUUCGGCAAUAUGCCUACGUCCACGGGGAGAAAGGAUGAUGCUUUUCUGAUCGAGACAAUUGUACAAGCCCUCACGAAGAAACCAAAGUCUUCUUCCUCACAAAAGUUCUCCAACUCUCUAAUGGCUUCUCACAAUCUCUCUCGCAUAAAAAAACUUUUUUUUUCUACUUCUAUUUGGCUUUAUAACAUAGCCUUACAAUAGACCACGAAUUGGGCUUAAACAGGCCCAUAUAGCACAAAAGCAAAGGACGUUCCUGAACUAUACCAUCAACGUACGUACGUCGAAUACACGUUCGUACGUUCUUUGAUCCAAAAGUUAUCUGUGAUGCUGAACGUACGAACGCCCUAACUGCGUACGUACGUUCCUGAACAGAAAACUUCCCUUCGUCCUUUUCUUUUUCACAAAAAAAACCCAACACACACUCCAUUUUUCGAGCUCGCGCCCAUUUCCAUAAUCCAUCAUCAUUCUCCACAUCCAUUUUUUCGUCACUUGACAUCACUCAACUUUUAUUUUUUUCUAAUCGGAUUUUUAAUCAAACCCAAAUUCCUUUCCAAUUUCUUUCGUUUAAUUUAUUUUCCUAUAUUUUUCUACCGUCUGUUUUUUUACUCAGAUUGUGUUUAUUUUUUCUUCUUUACCUAACAGGUUUCACCCAUCGGCUAAAGAGGGGGCGAUGUAUUGACCCCCCUUAACGUGCUCAAGCCCAAGUCAAUUACAAGUCAAAGCCCAAGACUUUAAUCAAUAAGAGCCUAAACCCAAUUCAAUUAGUAAUAAGGCUGUUACUACAUUUAAUAUCAAUUAUGGGUUUUAUCUAUUUUAAGUCCAUUAUAUUCAAUAAGGUUAAUAUGGUAAAACUAAAUCUUUGUAGAGAUUUUCUUAACCUAAUCCAACUACAACUCCAACAUCUCUACAACUCAUCUUCCUAAUUAAUAGGACAUAUACAUAAUGUAGUAACCACUUUUAAGUCCAAAUAUAUGGGACUACAAUACUACAAUACAUUAGGGAUCAUGGGAUCACAUCCUAAUCAAACUCUACAUUUGAACUACGUUAUAAAAAGUUUGAUUCCAUCUCUCUUAUGGCUAGGUAGGCAAUUAAGAAGCAACUUAGUGCAGCCAUAAUCAAUCACUAAAAACCUAUUCAUUUAUCUUCAUCUUCUCCAAUACCUUACAUCACAACAUUAGGGGUUUCUUCUUAAUUCUACAUCACAUUGGUGUGAAAUCCGGUUGAAACAAUAUCUAUACCAUGGCCAAUUUGCUGGUAGUCUAGGAAAAUAAUAAUAUGACAGAUUAUGUUCUAAUUUGUUCUAACUAAAAACAAGAAUUUCUAACAAUUUGGUGAUUACAAUGCAUUUCAAACAAUAGUAAAAAAAAAAACCGCGCAACGAGUAAAGUUAAUACUUAGUAGGCCACAUUUUGUAAGCGCGCUUUGGAUCAUUACAUUUUUAGGGCCGACCCUGUAUAGAUAUCCCACUUAUAGUAUUCUGUAAACUCAAAAGAGAAAAACAUGUUUUGAUUUCAAAACACGUACUGUAAGUAAUUGUCAGAUAAUAACAGUUCGACGAACCAAUUCCAUAGAACUGUGUAUGAUCGUCUCCGUCAUACAUAUAUAUAGAAUUUCUUCUAACCACAUAUUCCAAUGAACUCAUCCCAACCAAAUAUAUGAAAUUUGGUAGAUAUGGUUUUCAACAUUAACUGGACAUUGAUGGAACUUCUUAUGGUAACCCAGGUCCAAGUGGUAUGGUGUUGGUUGUGUGCUUAGAAACCAUUUGGCAGGUUUUCAUGUUUCCAUGUCUCUCCCUAUCUUGUAUCCUUCUUCGCUCUUUGCAGAGUUUAAGGCACUCCAUUUAGGACUUUUGAUAAUCAAUGCCUUAAAUCUUCGCAAUGUAAUUAUUGAAACUAAUUGUCAAGUGCUUGCUACCAUGAUGAAUUCUUCUUCUCUAUUAGCGGUCCCCAAAGAUAUUCAGGUUAUUUUUGUAGAGGUUUAGAAGAUAUGGUAUGCAAUUGGCAGACCAUCUAUUACUUGGGCGUAUCGAGAGACAAACUUUGUUGUCGACACUCUAGCGAAGUUUGCUGCAACUAAAGCAAAGGAUCCUACUUGGCUUUCCACACCAACUUUUGAGCGACAACGGUGCCAGAUGAUUUGUAUUUUGUAGAUCUAGGAUUUGCUUCUGUUUGGGGGCUCUUCACCCCCUGCUUUCUUAGCUCAGUAUGUUUUUUCCGAUGUAGUUGGUACUUGUAAUAAUCGUUUAGUUCAGUAAUAUAGUAAUAAAACACUAAUUUUAUUAUAAAAAACAAAAAACAAAAAAACAUUAACUGGACAUUUAUAUUUUUCCUAAAAAAAAACAUUUAGAACAAAUCUAACCAACAUCUUUAUUGCACUAUUUAUGUAUGAAAGGACAUUUACAUUUUUGGCUACACAAUAUAGCACACCUAACACCACCUCUCUCUCUAUAUAUUAAGGGAUUAUCAACUCACUACGUACUGUAUAUCGGCUAAGCUAUACUAGAUCGAGUAUCGUUAAAGGAAAAUAGAUAGAUCGAAAAACAUGGCAGAAGAGGACCUAAGAGUGCAAGGCCAAGGUUAUAUAUGGGGACUUAUUUGGGGUUAUGUCGAUGCCGUGGUACUAAAAUGUGCCUUGAAUCUUAAAAUUGUAGAUAUUAUAAAUAGCCAUAACCAUCCCAUUUCCUUAUCAGAAAUAGCAGAUGGGAUUUCUUCACCAUCUUUAAUUAUUAGACAUUAGUUGUCUAGCUAGCUCACAUCAUGCGGUUUUUUCUUAGUCCGCAGACGUGUUUUCACAUCUCAAUUAACAGAAGAUGGAACCACACUUUAUGGGCUGAUGUAUUAACCUAUUUCUAGAUUAAUGCACUACUAGGUCAGGUCGCUGGGAGACUUCACCAAAGGGGGAGAUUUUAGGUCGGGGUGGCUGCACCUCGUUGAGAUCGAGAUUGCCUACGUACUCUUAGCUCGAGGGGAUUGAACUUAGAGAUCAAGCCAUCGUAGUUCUGUUCUUAUAGAAGGUAGAAAGGCGUGGAUCGUGGAUCUUGCAGAUUCUCCGUCAUCAUAAUGAGGAUUAAUUGUGUAACGCGCGUGGAUCAUCCCUGUGAAUUAAUUAUGUAACUGACGAGAAUAUUUUGUGCAUUGAAUGAGAGCGCGUGUGUGUAAGCAGGCCACUGCUCGUUAUGAGGUCGAGCUGUUGUGGACGAGCUACUAGCAGGUAGAGAGUGGCGACCUGGUGGAUGAGUGACUGUGCCACAUGGCUGCUUUUGAUUGGUUGGAGUAUGUAGUACCCCUACAUAAGCCCCCUCUUUUUAGGUCGGCUGUAGAAGUCGGGCUGAAAAGACUAAUAACUCUGAUCGAUGCUGAUUUGUGGUUUGCUUUUUGAAUCUUCUGACGUGGCGGUCAUGCAAGCUUGUCUGUACUAAUCAUGGCGCUCUUACGGGGAAGUGGGAGAUUUUCCUCGAGCAGUUAGCUGCGCAGUUAUGGCAACUGGCGCACGUCUUGCCUGAUAUAGUCGUUGCGUGGCACGUGGGUUGAUCCGACGAUGGAUGUGAAUCUUUUAUGAAGUGGAAAAUAACUGCAAUGGAAGUGGAUCGUCUGUUCGAUCUCAGCCAUUCACCUUUUUCGAACUGAUGGCUGGGAUUGUACGAGCUACAGUAUUUAAACUGUAGCUUUGUUGAGAAGGGUUUACCUAUUUCGCUUUCAUUUGAAUUGCUGUCGCUUUACUCUUGCGAUCUGAAGAACUUUGAGAGCUCGUGAGGUUAGUUUUCUUCUCUUUCUGUUCCUUCAUCUUCUGUUUUCAUUUCUGUUGCUUGAGAGAAAUGUCUGAUUUGAGUGACUCUCAAAAUGAUAACCUGAGUGGUGGUGGCGGUGAGGAGUAUGAGUCUGAAAGGACUCAUUCUGAACCUUUGUCGCCCGUUCGUGGUGUAGACCCUGAUAGCCCCCAGAGUAGUGGCUCUCACGGGGCUGACUCGUCUGACAAGGAGAUGGUGGAAGGAGACGAUGGUUCGAUGUGUAGAGUAGUGAACCUUAAAGACGUAAAUAGGCACAUUGCAUUUAGGAAGCAGUAUGGUCUUAGCUCCAUUGAUCAUUUGGAGAUUAGAUUUUUAGGAGAUCGUUUACUUUCCGCUGAGUAUCGACCCAAAAAUCCUUUCUCGACUGUUUUCACCUUGACCCAAUUUCGAGCUGGGUUGAGGCUGCCAUUGUCUUAUUUGGUGGUCGACCUGUUGAAUGCUAUUGGUCGAGCCCCCUGCCAGAUGAAUGGCAAUUUCUGGAGGAACAUGAGGGUAAUUGAAGACCUCAACAAGUUGCAUAGGUGGAACGUCACUGUGAAGGAUGUGUUGGACCACUUCUGCUUCAAACGUUCUUCCAAGGCUGACUUUUCCGGCUAUAACAUGCAAGUUAGGCCAGAACGUUUGCCUUUGAUCUAUCCUGUAAGUAGUGAGCCAUGGUGGAAAGAUCCCAUGCUGAUUACCAGGUCGAUCAUUGAGGGGAGCAUCCAGUUGCGUCAUGUGACUAGGAAUGAUGCUCGUAAGUUUCUGGUCGUUAGUCUUAGGAGAUUUUUCUUUUUCUGUACUUGAUUAUGUUGUAUCUUUUUGCAGCGAUCAGGGACGAUCAUCUUGUGAGGAAGAACGAUCUGAAAUCCGCCUUGAACGGUUUUGGUUUCUUGUCUGACAAGCGUAAGAUAAAGUUCUUACCCCACCUGAGGGAACAUUUCAUUCCUAAAGGUGGUGCGAAAACCGUUGAAGACGAGCUAGAGAGGAGGAAGUCGCUGAGGAAGGCUCAUAUGUCUUCUAUUCAUAAAACUAAGGCUGGGAGUUCUGGUGGCGGCUCGCGUGCUGGGGAGAAGGAACGAGCUGGUGGUAGCUCGAGGCCUGCUGAAAGAGAGCGGUCUGGUGUCGCUGUUCGGAGGUCGGAGAAGGAACGACCUGUGGAGAAAGAGAGAGUUAGUGGUAGCUCGCGCCCGGUGGAGGUAGUGGCGAGCCCCCUAGUCGUGUCUCCUCCGCCUUCAUUUCCCAAACUGCCUGCCUUUUCUGGGCAGAAGAAGAGGUCUCAUUCAGGUAACCUGAAGCUGUUGGAGCGGCCCAAUGUGCCGACACCUGCUCUUGCCCCGUCUGGCAGAGCUCCUGAGAUGUCUGUUGUGUCCAGGAAGACUGCUGUUCGGCCCUUGGAGAAAGGCAAGGGUGUGUCGUCUGUGUUUCGCCCUGGGUCGUUCGACUAUUUGGACGGCCGUGGUGAAAGGCAUGUCGUAUAUGAUAACGACAGUGCUAUUGACGACCCCUGCGUCGCCCGGGCUGUGAUGAAGGCAUCGUUCUGGAAGCUGAUGCUCGAGCUGUGAAGUCUCAGACUUUGUUGGUCACCUGCUCAAAGUUAAAUGCGGCGCUGGCUUUGGUGAGUGUUGCCAUAAUUAUUAUUUUCUUUGUUUCUGCUCAGUCGUCGUUGCCUAAUUCUGCUUGCACUUGCAGGUUAAUGCGAGCUUCCAGGAAGUGCGUCUUGUCGCUGAAGUUGGUGCCCGUGCUGAGGUUGAGCUGAAGGAGCUGAACGAGAAGCUUGAGCAGGCGAGGAACGUUGCUACUGUUGCGGAGUGCAAAGUGAGGGACAGGGAUGCUCAGGUCGCAGCGUUGAAGGAGACCAAUGAGCAGUUAAAGGAAAAUUUGGCUGCUGCUAAGGCUUCUGCUGAACACUGGCAGAACGUAAGCCAGGAAAAUGGUGCAGCGUGGCAGGCCUACUGUGAGCAACUGCAGAAAGCUUUGAUGGGGUCGCCCGAGGGAGAGGAGACGCGAGGUUGGGCCGAAGAAACCUUGGCGCCAGCUCAGGACGCCUUGAUGGGCCCUAGUGACCAGGUCGCCAGUGGCGGUAUGGAAAUUGAUGGUUCCAGCGACCAGCCAGCGCAGCAAUGAACUAGUCCGGGUCCCAACUUUCUUGUAUUGGGUAACCUUGUGCAAAGUUUGCUUCUUGCACUCCUUGUUCUUGCAGUACGUCUUCUUUGGUCUUCCUCUAAGCAGUCCUCUGAGUUUGUGAGCUUGAGAAGACAAUUGUUUUUGUUUGUAGUUUUGUUGAACAGUAUUAAUCUUGAUGAGCUUGUACUUAAGCUGUUCUGAUCAGCUAGUUUCCAGGGAGUCCUGGUAGCUCGUUCAGAAGGCAGGUAGACGAGAUGAAUGGCUGCAAGCAGGACGGACGACUGAAACAGUUCUUCUUAUAUGCCUUAGUUUAACUUUACUUUUGCCUGUAAUGGUUAGAAUCUCCUUAAGUAAAAAGAAAAUUCAAUGAUUUACCUGUUAUUGUCAUUCUUGCUACAUUGUCUGCUUGUAUGAGUUUUGCAAACAAGUAGUAACCAUAGUGUUGGACCUGCUGGUGGAUGAGGUAGCGUGCAUGGUUACUUGAUUAUACAGAGGUCGUGGGAAUGAUAUGACCAAUGCACCAAGUUAAGUUGCAGAUGUUUGAACUUAACAAAUUAAAAUCAUCAAAGGGACUAGAGUUUUGAUAAUUUGUAGGUCGAGGGAGUAGACCUUUAGGAGCCAUUCAUGUUUGAGCUGAGAUGAAGGCAACAAUGUGUUUGUAUAUUUGAAAUGUAAUGAAUGGAUGCUUACAUUUCAUUGAUAAAACUUUUUCAAGUGAUAAGCAUUCCAUGGGUUCUUAACUAUCUCUCCUUCUGGUGUUUGAAGACGAUAAGAACCGUUGCUUUGAACCUUGGUGAUAAUGUAAGGUCCUUCCUAGUUGGCAUUGAGCUUGCCAAUGAUAUCCUUCCUCUUGUUGUGGAACAUUUUCCUUAGAACUAGUUCUCCUGGUUGAAAAGAUCUAGGUCGUACGCCUUUGUUAUAAGCUCGCUUAAGUCGUUGUUGAUACUGCUCAAGCUUUAUAACUGCGUGGUUUCGUCGCUCUUCGAGGAGAUCUAUUCCGAACGACCAGAUCUGAUCGUUAAGCUCUGUAUCGACCAGAAGGGAUUUGGUCGUUCCAAAUGUUAACUCGGUGGGAAUAACGGCCUCAACUCCAUAGCAUAGACUGAAUGGUGACAUCCCAGUGGAUGUACGAGGGGUUGUUCUAUAAGCCCAUAGGAUGUUCUCCAACUGUUGUGGCCAUUGAUCAUGCUGAUCUUCGAGCUUCUUCUUCAGGUUGUUUAGAAUCUGUCGAUUUGCAGCUUCGACCUGGCCGUUGGCUUGUGGAUAUCUAGGCGUUGACCUUGAAUGCUCGAUUUUCCAUAGGUUGUAGAAAGCCUUGAUGUUUUUGCCAACGAACUGAGUGCCAUUGUCUGUGACUAUUCGUUUUGGUAGGCCAAACCUUGUGAUGAUGUUUUCCCACAUGAAUCUCUGCACAUCUGCUUGGGUGACGUUGGUUAGUGCAACAGCUUCCACCCAUUUAGUGAAAUAGUCGACGGCCACUAGAACGAAUCUCUUCUCUGAUUUCUUCUCUUUGAUUAGGGGGCCCAUGAUAUCAAGCCCCCACAUGUAGAAUGGCCAUGGUGUAGUGACGUUGAUGAGAUCAUUGGGAUGUUGAUGUUGCUUAUUAGCGAAUCGUUGGCAUUCUACACACUUUAAAACGAAUUUCUUGGCAUCUUCCUUCAUUCUUGGCCAGAAGUAUCCCUGGGAGAUUGUUUUAUGGGCUAAGGUUCGCCCUCCGGAGUGGUUUCCACAUUCCCCUUCAUGGAUUUCUUGGAAUAUCAUCUGGCCCUGUUUGGGGAUUAGGCACCGUAAUAACAAACCAGUUGCGGACUUUCUGAAAAGUUUACCCUCAUGGAGUUUGUACAUUGUGACUUUAUGUAACAGCUGAUUGGCUUCUUUUUUGUUGGAUGGUAGGACAUCAGUUUGAAGGUAAAUAAUGAAAGGCUCCAUCCAAGUCCCUUGGAUAUCUGCUGGAGUUGUUUCUAGUAGAUCAGAGAUUUGAUGAACAUUUUCUUCCUUGAAUAGAUAUGCGGGCUGUGUAUUGAUUGCUAUGGUGAGAGCCCGCGGUCUGUCUGACUCGAUCUUAGAUGCUAAGAAUGCCAAUGAAUCAGCAUGCCUGUUGUCAUCUCUUGGUAUGUGCUCGAUUGUGAAAUAACUGAGCUUGUUGAUGAGCUCCUUCGCUUUGCUAGCAUACCUGAUUAGGUUGACCCUAUUGAUCUGGUAAUUACUGGUAAUCUGAUUGACUACCAGUUGUGAGUCGCUGUACACCAUCAGGCAAACUGCUUGUAAGUCGAUGGCCAUUUGUAGGCCUUGGAUUAGGGCUUCGUACUCGGCCUCGUUGUUGGAGGUCGCAAAGUCGAGACGAGUUGAUCUCUCGAGCUGUGAACCUUCAGGAGAAAUUAAUACAGCACCUAUGCCACUUCCGUUGGAGUUGUGGGAACCAUCUACAUAUAGCUGUCAUGUGUCAGGAGGGCUGUAUUGGACUUGCCGUGUUUCAGGUUCUGGUUCCCAAUUGGUAUCUUCUGCUGGAUAGUCUACCAAGAAAUCUGCAACGACCUGGCCCUUGACGGCCUGCCGUGAAACGAACUCAAAAGUGUAAUCACCCAACUCGGCUGCCCAUCGAGCCAUACGACCUGUUUUGUUCUUCUUUUCUAGUAUAUGUCGUAGUGGCUGGUCGGUGAUUACUUUUACAGUGUGCGCUUGGAAAUAAGGUUUGAAUUUGCAUGCAGCGUAAAGUAAGGCUAAUGCUAACUUCUCCAGAGGUGUGUACCUUAUUUCGGCCUGCUGUAAGACUUUGCUUGUGAAGUAGAUAGGUCGCUCGACCCUGGUUUUCUUCUUUAAAAAGUACUGCACUGAUCGCAAAAUCUGAUGUUGCGAGGUAAACGCCGAGUACAUCUCCAUCGUUGGGCCUUGUGAGAACUGGUGGAGUAGACAAAUAUGCCUUGAGAUCAUUGAAGGCUUUCUCGCAUUCUUCUGUCCACUCAUAAGUAGCCCCCUUCUUUAGGAUGUGAAGCAUUGGUCGGCAUUUGUCUGAAGCUCUGGAGAUGAAUCUGUUCAGAGCUGACACCAUGCCGUUGAGUUUCUUGAUUUGUUUCUUUGUUUUUGGGCUUGGCAUGUCGAUCAGGGCUCUGAUCUGGUCGGGAUUUGCUUCAAUGCCUCGUCUGGUGACUAGGUAGCCGAGGAAUUUUCCUGAUGCAACCCCGAACAGACACUUCUCUGGAUUAAGACGCAUUCUGUAUUGUCUUAAUCUUUGGAAUGCCUGGUCGAGAUUGUACAAAUGAUCUUGUUCUUUGUCACUCUUCACUAGCAUGUCGUCAAUGUAGACUUCCAUUGUUCGACCUAGGAGGUCGUCGAACAUUCUGGUGACCAGUCUUUGAUAGGUCGCUCCUGCAUUCCUUAACCCGAAUGGCAUAACCUUGUAACAAAAAAUACCUUGCUCUGUUGUGAAAGAGGUCUUCUCUUGGUCAGGCUCGUACAUUGGGAUCUGGUUAUACCCUGAGUAUGCGUCCAUGAAUGACAGUAGCUCAAAACUGCAUGUCUGAUCGACUAGCCUAUCGAUUCGUGGCAGUGGGAAUGAAUCUUUAGGACAAGCUUUGUUCAAACUUGUGAAGUCGAUGCAGACUCUUGUUUUCCCAUUCUUCUUUAAGACUGGUACGAUGUUGGCUAGCCAGUCUGGUGUAUCGACCUCUCUGAUAAAGUCGACCUGUUUAAGUCUGCUGAUCUCUUCAUUGACAGCUUCGUGGAAUUUGGGAGCAAGCCUUCUUGGUUUUUGCUUUACAGGUCGAUAAUUGGGAUUGACCCGCAGUUUAUGACAUGCAAUUGAUGGAUCUAUACCAGGCAUAUCGAUAUACGACCAAGCAAAAACAUCUUUAUUAGUUGAAAGAAAAUUUACAAAGUUAUUGAACUUAUCUUCCUUCAACUCUGCACCUACAUAGAUAUAUCUCGGGUCAUCUUCUGACCCAAUGUUCACACGUACACCUGGAUCAGUACUUCCGAGAUUUAGCUUGGGGGAGCUCGCUAGCUCCUUCUGUAGUUGCUAUUUGGUGGCUUCACUGUUUUCUUUGGAAGGGCUCUUUGACUUGUUGUCGCCUUGUUGAGCCUCUGGUGAGAUUGGGCUCUUUCCUUUGACUUCAGCAUCCUUGGCUCCAGAGGUGGAUGGCUUUGACUGUGGUACAGCUUCAACAAUGCCAUGGCAUUCCUGUGCGGUGUUCUGAUUGCCGCGAAGUUCCAUUAUCCCAUGAGGGCCAGGAUAACGGAAUACUUGAUGAUACGUUGACGACACACCUCUCAUAGCAUGGAUCCACUUUCGACCCAGAAUCGCAUUGUACUUGCUUGCGAUAUUGAGGAUGCUGAACUUGGUGGUCAUAACGACCUUGUCUUCCUUCCUGCCCACGGUGAUGGGCAACAGAAUUUCACCCUUGGGGUCCUCUCUUGAACUGUUGAAGCCCAAGAUGGGAGUGAAAUCGGGGAUGAGAACUGAAUCAGGAAACCUCAUGUCUUUGAAGGUUCUGUACAUGAGGAUGUUGCAUGAUGCGCCAGGGUCUAUGAAUACCCUCUUGAUGGUGUAGUCUGCAAUCCGCAGCUCGACGACAAGGGCGUCGUUGUGAGGAGUAACAAACUUGUUGAGAUCGUCCUCGGUGAAAGUGAUGUCGGACUCUUGGCGGGCAGGGAUGUUGAAACGAGCUGCUCGGCCAGUGAUGGAGUAGACAUGAUGAAGAUGCUCUACUCGUUUCUUCUUCUCUCGAGAGACAGGGGUGUGGUUGGAUUCGUCAAUCAUGUAGACUACAUGACUGUCUGAUUCACUGUCGCUGUCGAUCUUAUGUGCGACCUUCUUGUUGAUUUGGUCGCGUAGGUCUCCUGUUGGACCUAAACGUUGGGAGAGGCUACGCCCUCUGUUGCGGACUGGACUUGUUGAGGCCGUUCUGGCCUUGCUGUGAUUUCUUUUUGGGGAACGGGGAGGCGUUCUGGACUCCUUCCUCACCCGCUUGCCUGUGGAUUCCUCAUUCCUUCCGAGGAUCCAAUUGUUGAGCCUUUUCUCAUCGGCCCAUGUUUGCAGUGCGCGUUUCAGAACGUGACAGUCAUCUGUUUGAUGACACCGUACCUUGUGGACUUUGCAGUACGGUCGUCCAGAUGUAUCCUCCAGCUGUGUGAAGGUAGGAAUCCUGCACCAGUGGUUGUGCUUGAUUCGCUCGAAUAUGUAACCGGCUGGUCUUGUGAACCGGUGAUACUCUCGCUGCUCAGUAGGCAACGACUUACCCUUGAGCCUCUUGCCAUCUGACCGAGGUCGCUUGGUUGAGUCAGACUCCACAUUGCUGACUACGUGAUUCUUCUCCCUCCCAGUGAGGGCUUCCUCGAACUUGAUAUAACGAUCUACCUUUAGGUAGAGCUCGUCCAGGGAUGAAGGUCGUUUCAUGGCUAGCGACUUGUGGAGGUCGGACCCCUGGGUCAGACCGUGAGUGAAUGCGAUGGUUGCAAAGGUCUCGUGCUCCUUUGCAAAAUCCUGAAUUGAGUGUAAUUCAGACUUAAAACUAGCAAAGAAAACGUUUAGUGACUCGCCAUCUCGCUGCUUGACUUUGAAGAUGGAAUCGAUGGUGACUGGGCGCUUCUUGUUGUGGAUGUAGAAGAUGACGAAUUGUUUCUCGAGCUCUGCAAAGGAGCUGAUGGAUCCUGAUUUCAAACGGUGAAACCAGUCGAGAGCAGGUCCGGUGAGACUAGACUGGAACAGCAAACAUAAAAGGUGAUCCUCCUUGAUCAGAGGAAGGGAUUUCCGGAAUCCCUUGAUGUGGUCUGUUGGAUCUCCGACUCCGGCAUACUGGUCGAAUUUGGGGGCGUUCAGCUUGUUCGGCAAAUCAUGUUCAAGGAUCUCCUUGGAGAAAUGAGACUCCUGGAACUGCUGGAGGGACUGUACAGCAAGUUGCUCCGCGGUGUGGCUCUUGGAGUGGUGAAAGAGAGCCUGGGAGGCUUUGAAUUCCGCCAGUUGUUGGCUGAGUUGUUCGUAUUUCUGGUUGGAAUCAUCAGCAGGAAUGACUCCAUGUCCGCUAUUUUCACCUUGUUGGGGGUUGGUUUGUGCGGCUUUCAGGCGUGCAUUUUCUUCCUGCAAAAGAGUGAUUUGAGCAUGCAGAUUGAUAGUUAACUCUGGGGUAGUCAUUUGAAUAGAUGACUUUGAGAAGGGUGGGAGGGUUUGGGUUUUUCGAUUAUAUCGAAUUCCUUGCAGUCGGCGCCAAAUGUAUUAACCUAUUUCUAGAUUAAUGCACUACUAGGUCAGGUCGCUGGGAGACUUGACCAAAGGGGGAGAUUUUAGGUCGGGGUGGCUGCACCUCGUUGAGAUCGAGAUUGCCUACGUACUCUUAGCUCGAGGGGAUUGAACUUAGAGAUCAAGCCAUUGUAGUUCUGUUCUUAUAGAAGGUAGAAAGGCGUGGAUCUUGCAGAUUCUCCGUCAUCAUAAUGAGGAUUAAUUGUGUAACGCGCGUGGAUCAUCCCUGUGAAUUAAUUAUGUAACUGACGAGAAUAUUCUGUGCAUUGAAUGAAAGCGCGUGUGUGUAAGCAGGCCGCUGCUCGUUAUGAGGUCGAGCUGUUGUGGACGAGCUACUAGCAGGUAGAGAGCGUGGCGACCUGGUGGAUGAGUGACUGUGCCACGUGGCUGCUUUUGAUUGGUUGGAGUAUGUAGUACCCCUACAGCUGACGACACAUGCUGCAAAAUGGCUACUGCAAGACACGGAGCUCACUCUUGCACCCGUACUGCUAAUGCAAAAAGAUGGAAUGAAGGUGCGUCCCUUUCACAAAAAUGUGGAAGAAGGUGGUGUUAAAGUCGACGCUUGGGACAAAGGUGCGGCGUACCCAGAGUACAAUGAACGUUUCAAUGCGACUAUGGCUUCUAUAACUAAGAUAGCUAUAAAUGUCUUGUUGAAUUAUGAGAAUGGAUUUGAUGGCAUAAAAUCGCUCGUUGAUGUUGGAGGUGGGUUAGGAUUGACUAUUGGAGAAAUUGUAAAAGCUCAUCCACACAUUAGUGGUACGGUAUCAACUUUGAUCCACAACAUGUUAUAGCUGCAGCUCCGGAUACAUGUCAGUGGUUAUAUGUUCCUUGAUAUUCUAGAAGCUGAUGCUGUGAUCAUAAAGGUUAGAACAUUAAAUUAAACAUUUGUAUUUGAAUUGAUUUAAUAUAUAUAUAUUUCCUGCUUAUUUUUGUUGGUAUAUAUGCACGUGUAUAUGAUUGAGCAGAUGAUAUUAAUUGACAUUCGACACUUUUUUUUUGUGUGUGUGUGGGGGGGGGGGGGUAAAAUUAAAUGAUCGAGCAGUGGAUACUACAUGAUUAUGAAGAUGAAAAAUGUGUGAAGUUACUGAAAAAUUGUCACAGAGUAGUAUCGAAAAAUGGAGGAAAACUCAUAAUCGUGGAUGGGGUGUUGGAGCCAGAUGGAAAAGGUGCAUUUGAUGAUAUGAUUAUAAAUUUCGAUAUGGUGAUGAUGGCUACAACUGGCGGUAAAGAAAGAACUGAAACAGAAUGGAAGAAAAUAUUAGAAUGUGGAGGGUUUCCAAACUACAAAAUAAUACGGAUCCCAGCAUUACUAUCUAUAAUUGAAGAUUAUCCAUCAGGGUGAUUAAUAUGCAUGCUAAGCUUAACGACCACUUCGAAUACAAUCUAUAUAAUAAACCAUUGGCAUGAAACACGAUGCACAUAUAUACAGUUAUGCACCAUGCCUCAAAAUUUGCCUGCAGCUCAAGAAAAAAGCAGGAUAAUUAUUGGGCUCGUCCUCUAUCUACCUGCAGAAAAUGCUAUUCUUUCGUCGAAAUAAUGUUCUUUGUAACUAGUUAAAUCCUUGAAGAUCGCUAAUCAAUAACAAAAUAUUGCGCAAAUGGUAAUCGUUUCCAUGACCAUAUAUCCAUCAGUCAGUAAUUGGAAUCUGGGUUCCCAUCAUAGUUUCAAUUCUCUUGGCCUACACCACACUCCCUAUAUACAUAUAUAUAGAACAUUUGGCAACAACAUCGAAUGUCUUGACCAAGUAUAAAAAUCAGGGUAAUGGAGAAAUCCUAUGGCAGAUUCUGCUACUGUUCUGUCGAUUAUGAAACUAUGAUGGGAGUUGUAAGUUUGAUCUUUAUUCAAUAUUCUUGAAUCUUGACUAUUAAGCUGUGACUAUAUAUAAUCUGAAGUUCUGAACUCUGUGGAUUUAUACUACGCAGUAUGGGCUUGGGUAAUUUAUACUAUGCAGUAGCAAUAGCAGUAGUGGUUUUUAUUUUACAAACGUUCUACUGCAUGUAUCCUCAAUUAGCUAGAGAAGGGUUGGAAUCCAUUUACAAAUUUAUCCGUACACUAGAGCUACUCGACCAGCGCCACCAUUUUUAAAUGUCACUGGUACAUAUACAAGUCGUGAGACGUGAGUCAUGACCAGUCCAUACAAUACUUGCAUACAGAUAAGCAGAUCACUGGCAGGUCCAGGUGCAACUGGAAUAAUUUGGGUAUGUAUUAAUAAUUGAGCUUGCUACACAUGACCAUGCAUGUAGACAUGUAGUGUCAAAUUAGGCUUCAUGGUGUAUAAAAUAUAUAACCAUGUGCAACAUUUAGUAUUAGUAUUCCGAAUGGUUAUGGUGCACACAUAAUUCAUAUAUAUAAAAAAAAAAAAAAAAAAAGAUAGAAAAUAAUAAUGUUGGUAGCUAGCUUGCUUGGUCUUAUUGUAGACUAAGAAAAAGAAUUGCUUAAACGUGAUGCAACAACAACAACUUGCAUGAUCUUCAGAUACUGUAUAGUUUUAGUCAUAGAUUAAGAAGAAUUAUUAUUUGAUUAUUAUACACCAAAGUUGAAGCAGUCAAGCUUAAUAUACAGUCUUAUUUGAAUCUAUCCCCAGAAAGUCCAGGUUCAAAGGUGAGACUAGCUUGAGAGUGUGUGACACACCCAUCUCCCAUAAUUUUUGAAUAUCAUUAUGUUGUUGAAUAAAUAAACUUGAAAACGAUGUCACAAAAUUGAUUUUGAUAUGGCUGAUUGACUUCAUUAACUUUGGUUACAACUUACAAGUUACACAGAUAUAUGGCUGUGGAAUACAACAAACAUAAACAAAAGAUUCUUGAGAAUAUAUAUUUGUGGUAGAAAUAACACAGAAGCUUCAGGUUGUUUCUAUAAGAUUACAUAAAGUUAGACUGUUUUUACAUACUGAAAGUCAUUCAACACCAGAAAUGCACAUGAAUUUGUUGGUUUACAUGCCCAAAUCACCAAAUGUUACAUGCUCACGAGUCACCACUAGUUUAGUCUGGGACUGGUGAGGCCAAAUGGUAACCAUAAACCAUGACAUGAAAUGGGAAGCUUGUAAAUUAGUUACAUGGAAAGUAUAUACUCAAAUCACCGUGACUAUUUAGAACUCAUAUGGGUGAUUAGUUCGUUAAUUUUUUGAAUAAUCAUGAUUAAAUUGGUCUUUUGAUUUGGGCGGGAAAUUGAUUUCUUGGAACUUUUUUUUUGUGGGCGGGGGGGGGUUGAAUCUACUUGGAACGUUUGCACUCAUAGUUUAAAAUUUCGAAUCAGGCGAAAUUUAGGAUUCAGAAAAAAAUGGUAUAUUCCGAUAUUCCAACUCUUGAAACAAAUAUAUCACCUAAAAUAUCAAAAAUAUUCUCGGAUAUUCUCGAAAUUUAAAAUACCAAUUCUCUAAAAACCGACAUAUUUUACCAAAAUUUAGUAAAAUAUAUCGGCAGUUUGAAUUAUGUUUGCACCCAUCAGUCUAUCACAAAAAUUAUUAAAAACUCACUUCUCUAAAUCACCUACAUAUUUAUCAGGAUUCUCUCAUUUCUACAGUAUUUUCUAUAUUAAUAAAACCAAAAAUUAAUAUACACAAAAAAAAAAAAAAAUUUAGGGAUUUAACAGAAAAAACCAUUUUCUAACCUUUUUAAGUUCUCAAAUCAAUAAAAUGAUUUUAUAAAAACAAAAAAAAAAAAGUUUAUCUCAAAUCUAAUAUUUUCAUAAAAAAAAAAAAAAAAAUUUAUAAGUGGUAUCUCAGUCAUUAUGCCAAUCUACCCAACCAUUAUUAAUCCAAAAUCCAAUCCAAUCUAGUAGCAAUCUUUCUCACAGUUUAGCCCUUUAAAACAAAACUGUCAACCUGUUUUGACUGUGAUUUGAGCUGCUUGAAUUUGAUAACACAAUCUUGAAUCUUGAAUCUUGAUCAUCAUGGCAACCAUAAUCUGGUAAUUGUGUUUUUCACAUUCCACACAAAAAAAAAAAAAAAUAAUAAUAAUAAUAUGAUUUAUUAUGCCAGAACAGAACAAGCAAUUCAUUAAUUAAUUAAUUAAUUUAUUUAUUUUAUGGUUGACAUUUUUGAACCAACAUAUAAAAAAAAACUCCUCUCUAGUCUCUACACCAACAUAGUGGUAGUAGCUCUUUCUUUCUUUCAUCCAAUUUCCAAAUUCCAUGGCGAUUUCUUUUCAAUUCUCUCGUCUUUCUCUUCCAACUGAACUUGAAUCUCGCUUUACACUUCUAUCACGAUGUCAGAAACCUUUCUCUGUUCGUUGUCAUAACGAACCUUCUUCUGGUUCUUCUUCAUCUAUAGAAUCUGAUUUCGAUGCUAAAACAUUUAGACAUAAUUUAACAAGAAGCAAGAAUUAUAAUCGAAGAGGUUUUGGUCAUAAAGAAGAAACCUUAGAACUCAUGAAUAGUGAAUACACAAGUAAGUUGGAAAAUUUUAUUUCUUUGUGUUUGGUUUUUUUUUUUAAAUAAAUUGAUUGAUUUUGCUCAAUUGAAUUUUGAAUUUUGAAUUUUGAUUUUUUUAUAGGUGAUGUGAUUAAGAAGUUGAAGGAGAAUGGAAAUGAAUAUACUUGGGGAAAUGUUACUGUGAAAUUAGCGGAAUCUUAUGGAUUUUGUUGGGGAGUUGAAAGAGCUGUUCAGAUUGCUUAUGAAGCUAGAAAACAAUUUCCUGAUGAAAAGAUUUGGAUUACUAAUGAAAUUAUUCAUAAUCCUACUGUUAAUAAGGUAUAUUUCUUCUUCAAUUUUGCUCAGAAUAAAUAGAAUUUUGAAUAAAAUUUAUGGAAAGGUUGACUUUUAUUUCCUUUAAUCUCAUACUGAAUUCGUUUUCGCUUUCUUUUUCGCUUGUUAGAAUCUGAAUCAAUUGUUAGAAUUAGUUUUUGAAUUAGCCAAGGAAUAAGAAAUUUCUUGAUCACUUGUUUAAAGGGAUAAUUUUGAUUAAGACAACAAAUUGGUGUGAAUAAGUACUUUUGGAUUUAUGAAUUUUUUUGUGUGCUAAUUAAAUACAAAUUUCAUUUGUUAAUUAAGAAGGAAAAUCGGUUUGAAAAGUCCGCUUGAAGAGAAUUCAUUUGAGAUAUAAGAUGUUAAUGAAAUAUUUUCCUGUCUCCAAGUGGGAGAAUUUAUUUUUCGUGGUUAUAUAAAACAAAAACAAAUUAAAAACACAAGAAGUACUGUCUGUUCUUCCAAAAACUUUCAGGAAAUAUUUCUACUAUCAAAUGAAACUUUCCUCUUGGAUUUAAGGACCGGGCUAUUUUGAAAGGUUUGUAUCUCAGUAGGAAAUGCGAGUAGUUUCUUAUUCUAGUUUAGCCAAUAUAAGAGGUUAUGUAUGUCAAAGUUCAAAACAUGGAACAACGAGGGUAGAAAAUAUGGAUUUUAGCAUCAAAAUUGCUCAAGUAGUCGCUUCCUUCAAUAAAAUUAGAGAAAAGGUAGAUGCUUUGCGCCUUUUAAGAUGACUUCCUUCCCUGCCUGUGCUAAUAGUUGCCAAAGUGUUGAGUUAAUGAAUGUUGAUUUUACAUGAUGCUGGCAAGCAACCAUAAGCUUCUUGAGUUUUUCUUGUGUGUGUUUGAUUGGAUUUCCUUUACUUCCCUGCUUCUAGCCCCCCCCCCCCCCCCGCACACACACACACACAAAACGAUUCUCAUGGUUAACUGUUUGAUAUCAUUUAGUGGUCCAUAACAUUAGUGAUGAACAUAGUCUUGUUAGAAGUUAACAUAUUAUACCAUUGCGCUCUGAAUAAAUUCAUUUUGUUGAAAUUCUUAUUGGGUAAGUUUACACCUCUAAAUGCAGAGAUUGGAGGAGAUGGAUGUUAAGGAGAUUCCAGUUGGGGAUGGGAAGAAACAUUUUGAUGUCGUUUCAAAGGGUGAUGUUGUGAUUUUGCCUGCUUUUGGAGCUGCAGUAGAUGAAAUGUUGGAAUUGAGUGAGAGAAGUGUACAAAUUGUUGACACAACUUGCCCUUGGGUAUCCAAGGUACUUUGCUGAUAUUUAUUUUGCUUUUAUAUGCCUUUCGGUUCUAUUGUUUUUCAUUUUUCUCUCAACUGAUGAUAUUCCUUUAUUUUGUUACAGGUCUGGAAUACUGUUGAGAAACACAAGAAAGGAGAGUACACAUCCAUAAUCCAUGGUAAAUACUCUCAUGAGGAAACCAUUGCAACUGCGUCUUUUGCUGGAAAGUAUAUCAUUGUGAAGAACAUGGAUGAGGUAUUUUGCAAUUUCCUUAUUAGUGCAUCUCAAAAUUUAUACACACAGCAUUGAAGUUAGUCAGAUGCGUAGCUUCUAUUGUCAUACACCUACAACCACACACUGAAUGGAAAGACCGGGGAAUUAAAAGGAUAGGAACUUGUACAUUAUUGUGCUAACUCUGAAAUUUCAAUUUAUCUACUUGAACAGGCAAUGUAUGUAUGUGACUACAUUCUUGGAGGUGAACUUAAUGGUUCUAGCUCAACAACAGAAGCACUCAUGGAGGUAUUAGUUGCAUGUUAACUUAAAAUUUAACUAUUUUUGGCCUGAAAUUAAAAUUUUUAACUAACUACUCAUGCACCUACAGAAAUUCAAGUUUGCAGUCUCUCAAGGAUUUGAUCCAGACAAGGAUCUUAUCAAAUUAGGAAUUGCAAACCAGACUACAAUGCUUAAGGGAGAAACAGAAGAGAUUGGUUAGUCAAAUUAUACAUUCUUUAUUUGCAAAUGUAUUUUCAGUUAUAUCAGUUUACUAAUAAGUCUAACUUUCCAGGUAGACUUAUUGAAAGGACUAUGAUGCGCAAGUAUGGAGUGGAGAAUGUUAAUGACCAUUUCAUAAGCUUUAACACCAUUUGUGAUGCCACUCAAGUAAUUCUCAUCCUCCGUUCUUUUCUAAGUCGUUACUGUAGUCUCAUUCUAAGAAGUACAUAUUUUUUGUCUCAGAUUUUCUACAAACGAAACUUUGAGAAUCAAUUUUUGUGUGGUUGUCCUGUAACCAGUAUUUUUCUGUGAUCACAACUGUCAUUCUGCAUAUUUCUCUGGUCUGCCAGUGUUUUAUAUUACUGUUUUCCAGGAAAGGCAAGAUGCAAUGUAUAAGCUUGUGGAGGAGAAACUCGAUCUCAUGUUGGUGAUUGGGGGAUGGAACUCCAGUAACACCUCACAUCUACAAGAGAUUUCAGAGCUCCGUGGCAUUCCUUCAUAUUGGAUUGACAGUGAAAAGAGAAUAGGACCAGGAAACAAAAUCAGCUAUAAAUUGAAUGUAAGCUUUUUUUUCUAUAAAAUAUACAAUUUCUUAAAGGCAAUUUAUAAAGAAAUAAAAAUUAUCUUAAAAAGUGAUUUCUUUCUCAUUCUUAUAUGAAGUACUUAUACAGUGGUUAUUAUUGUUUACUUGAACAGCAUGGUGAACUGGUUGAGAAAGAAAACUUUCUUCCUGAGGGUCCCAUCACAAUUGGUGUAACAUCUGGUGCUUCUACCCCAGAUAAGGUAAAUAUUUUCAACCUAGUAAAUGUUUUUCAUCUAUACAUGAACCCUUAGUACACCCCUGCAACUGCAAUUAAAAAAAACAAAAAAGUGAACUACUAAAAAACCAAACACGAUGGCUUUCUUUUUGAUAGUAGGUACUGUUAGUGAAACAAUUUCAUUGUCCUUGAAUAUCUGUCAUUUAGUCAGUUCUGACAUUGUUGCAAGGCUUUCGUCAGUCCAUCUGUUUUCACUAUGUAAGUGGACACUGAUUCUUAUUUCCUCGUAUUGAUCAGGCUGUUGAGGAUGUUCUUAAAAAGGUGUUCAACAUCAAGCGUGAAGAAGCCUUGCAGUUGGUGUAGCUUAUAUAUAUUCUGCAGACAUCAGAGACCAAUUCUGUUUGGUAUGUAUGAUGUGUAACUUAAUAAAUGUAAAUUCGAGUGGACUUGCGCUGUAUGCAUUUGUUUGUUUUAGUUCCUGAAGCGGAAAGCAGGGAUGACCGGCAUGAUACAUAUUAUAGAAAGACAGGCAACAUAGAAAUUGUAACUUAAUGGUUGUUAUACAACAGUUGUAUUGGUGUGGUGUGACCUGAAGGGUCUCACCAAUCACCAUAUGAUUUAUCUGAUCAGACUAUAUCUUAAAUUUCAUUGCUAUUAUCUUAUCUGAACUCUUUAAAGUAUUAGCAAAUGUGUCCAAAACUGGUUUUUGGUUCUCUAAAGAAGAGUAACGCCUAGCUUCUGCUCUGAGCUACCCCUGAAACAAAGUUAUAAUUCUUUCCCAUGACGACUGUUCAUGUAUUCUGGGAUUCGGUGUGCACACCAAUGAAUGAAGGAGGGUUAGGUAUUCGAAAAACCACAUUCAUGAAUCAAGCUCUUCUAUCUAAAUGGUUAUGGAGGUACGGGAGAGAGCAUGAGGCCCUUUGGCGAAGGGUAAUUGAUGCCAAAUAUGGGAAGUGUGACAAUGGUGGGAUGCCCUCAAAGGUGACAUGUCCAUAUGGGUGUAGCUUAUGGAGAGGGAUUCAAGCGAGCCAAGAGGAAUUCAUGGAAGGUAUAACAAAAUUAGCCAAAAGGGGUGACAAGAUUCGCUUUUGGCAUGACAUAUGGUUGGGGGAAGUUUCUUUCUCUAGGAGAUUUCCUAGGAUUUAUAGGUAUGCCGCAAUGAAGGAGGGGACGGUCUUGGGGCACAAAAGAGAUGAAGGGGGAUGGAAUCUUCACUUAAGGAGGACUAUGUUCUGAGAAGGUGAACAAUCUCAACUUGACCACCUCACAGCGUUACUUGAAAAUGUGGACUCUUUUUUUUUUAUAGAAGUAAAAUUUUUAAGAGAAAAUUAAAGAAAACAAGCCAGAUCAGCCUACAGAGCAGCGUCAGGUGGGCAUCAAUGGAUGCCAAUCCAGCAUAAACUAAAACUCUCCGAAAACUUUAGUCUCGAACCAGCACGUCCCAUUGUUCCAGUAGGUCUCUAAAGUGAAAACUACUCCUCCCUUUCCCAAUUCUCAGCCAAAACCAAAUAAGUGCUUUCAUCUUUGUACAAAUUUCAUUGAUGGUGAAAGCUUUAUUCUUAAAUAUAACCCCAUUCCUUAUAUUCCAGAUGACCCAAAUGACAACAUAGGGAAGCAACUUCCAAGCUUUACCUCCCAAGGCAUGGUUCCCACUCUUUGGCACUUAUUAAGAACUUCAGUAACUGAGAGGGAACGCAAUAUAACGUUGAAACCGUCAAUCCUUGCUGCUGUCAAAAGCUUCCAAACCUGCAGUGCCACUGAACAGUGAAGAAACAAAUGUGGUGUAUCUUCCACAAUGAUACCACACAGCGAGCAAGUGGGGUCAAUGUUGAAGCCAUGCCUGUGAAGGGUAUGCUUCGUAGAAGUUCUAUUUAACAAAACAGACCAGAAAAACAGCUGAAUAUAAGUGGGAAUUUUGGCCUUCCACACUAAUUUAGAAGGAAGGAUCUCAACAGGUCUGGAGUCCAAAAGCAGUUGAUGAUACAUUGUUUUAACAGUAAAACAACCAUUGUUAUUCCACUUCCAUCUCCAGUUAUCAGUAUCAUCACCAAACUCCACAAUUUGCAAUUUCUGUGUGAGUUCCCUUAACUGUUCCAUCUCCCAAUCAAAUGGAGUUCUUCGUAUCCGUAGGUUCCACUGAUUCUCUAACUCUGUUCUGGUGCACAUCUGAGCAAUCAAUGCAUUCCUACAAUUUGACAGAAUAUAUAUCUGUGGAAAUCGCUCACAUAAAGGGGUCGACCCCAACCAAGAGUCCAGCCAGAAACGAAUUCUACUCCCAUCACCUAACCUGCAGAUUAUUCCUUGACGGAAAAGGUGAAAGAUUUCCAUAAUCCCACGCCACAAACUGCACCCAUGUGACUGUGAAGCAUGUCUUGGCCACCAAUUAAAAUCUCCUGAUCCAUAUUUCGAGUCAAUCACCUUUCUCCAGAGAGCUCCCUCCUCUCUACCAUAUCUCCAAAGCCAUUUUGCCUUUAAAGCUUUGUUCAUCAAACUGAUUCUUCGUAGCCCGAGGCCACCUUCCUCUUUCGGACAACAAAUCUUCUCCCAACUUACUAAGUGAAUCGAUCUUUUGGACUCCAUGGAAUUCCAAAGGAAAUCUUUCAUUUUCUUCUCAAUCAGGUUAGCAAUGGAAAUUGGAAUGGUAAGCAACGCCAUCUGAUAAAUUGGGAGGUUGGCCAAAACACUUUGAACCAAAAUGAAACGACCUCCUUUGGACAAGAGACAGACCUGCCAGCUUUGUAACCUGGUUUGAAUCCUCUCCACCACGGGAUCCCACACUCUUUUGUUCUUGAAAGAAGCUCCCAGUGGCAUCCCGAGAUAUUUACAGGGCAAAAAUCCCUCUUCACAGUCCAUAAUUUGCGUGAACCUCCUCAUAUUAGGAACAUUACCCACUGUUGUGAUUGUAGUUUUCUUCGGGUUACCUUUCAACCCAGAUAUUGCUUCAAAAAUCAGGAGAAUGGUCUUAAUAACAAGAAUUUAAUCAAUCUUGGCAUCCACUAAGAAUAGUGUGUCGUCAGUAAACUGCAACACCGCAACGUCAGGACACUGAGCCCCUGAUUUAAACCCAGUAAUGUAUCUUUUCUCCACUGCAUCAUUGACAAGCCGACUAAGCGAUUCCAUAACAAUAUUGAACAAGAAAGGUGAAAUGGGGUCUCCCUGACGAAGACCUCUAGCGUUCUUAAAAUGUCCCUUAGGUGAUCUAUUGAUGAUGAUUGAAAAGGAUGCAGUUGAGACACAAACCCAUAUCCAGUUUCUCCACUUUGGCGAAAAGCACAUUCUGAAGAGAAGAUAGUCCAAAGAAACCCAGUUAACUCUAUCGUAGGCUUUAGAGAUAUCAACUUUACAAAGAAGCCCACCAACUCCCGAGCGAAUCCUCGAGUCCAAAAGCUCAUUAGCGAUUAAAGGUCCGUCCAUGAUCUGCCUGUCACCCACAAAAGCACUCUGACAUGGGGAUAUUAACACAGGCAAGAACACUUUCAAUUUGCUAGCCAAGACUUUAGAGACAAUCUUGUAGACGCUACCCACCAAGCUAAUGGGUCGGUAAUCCACAAUACAAAUUGCCUAUCUCUUCUUUGGCACCAAUGUCACAAAUGUAGUGUUUACCCACCAAUCAAGAAAUCCCUGAGUGUAGAAUUCAUCCAAAACAGCUAUCAAAUCAGGUUUGAAGAUCUCCCAACAUUUUUUAUACACUAACAUAGGCAUGCCAUCUGGCCCUGGUGCCCUAUCACCGCUGAAAGAAUUGAUGGCCCUGAGAAUCUCCUCCUCAGUAAAGGCAUCAUCCAAGCUCACAGAUUGUUGAGCCGACAAAGAUGCAAACUCCAUAUUGUCUAGCAGGGGUCGACAAAUAGGAUCCUCCGAGUACAAAUCUUUAUAGUAUCCCACAAUAUGUUGCACAAUAUCCUCCUCGUUUGUGACUAGGAGACCAUCUAUCUCUAAACAAUCAAUUGAAUUCACCCUUCCACGGUUGACCGCAGACUUAUGAAAAAAAGCAGUAUUGUUCUCACCUUCACAUCUCCAUUCUAAUCCGCGCUUUUUGACGCCAAGAUAUUUCUUUCUUCCUCAGCAAAAGGUUGAGCUCCUCUUUGAGACAUAAUUUGUUUAGCAAAGUUUCAUCUGUCAAGGGACAAGAUUCUUCCUCUCUAGCAAUAGCUUGGAUCUCGUCAGUCUUAGCUUGAAUAAGACGAUCCACACAACCAAAUACUUCGCGGUUCCAACUUCUUAGUUUGGAUUUAAGGGCUUUAACUUUACUCCACCAAAUGAAACUAGCAAAACCUGAGAAAUGAAAGGAAAACCACCAUUCGCGAAUCAUUCCCAGUAAAUCAGGGUUCUCAAACCACAUAAUCUCGAAUCUAAAAGGCAUAGAUCCUCUUCUCUUGUUAGUGCAGUCGAGAACCACCACUCUAUGAUCCGACACUGAUCUAUAAAGCGCCACCUCUUUGGCUUGUGGAAAAUUUGCAUCCCAAUCUGCUGUUGCAAAGAAACGAUCAAUCCUACUAAGACUUCGACCAUUAGACCAAGUAUAUUUGGCACCAUGUAGAGAG
rnacentral:lncRNA from 1 species